rnacentral:rRNA from 1 species
UACAGAGGUCUCAAGCGUUGUUCGGAUUCAUUGGGCGUAAAGGGUGCGUAGGUGGCGCCGUAAGUCGGGUGUGAAAUUUCGGAGCUUAACUCCGAAACUGCAUUCGAUACUGCGGUGCUUGAGGACUGGAGAGGAGACUGGAAUUCAUGGUGUAGCAGUGAAAUGCGUAGAGAUGUGGAGGAACACCGAUGGCGAAGGCAGCCUCCUGGGCCGACACUGACGCUGAGGGCACGAAAGCGUGGGGAGCAAACAGG